CGGGUGAGCCUGCGGGGCAGCGCGAGACUGAAGGGCCCGGCAGGAAGGAACCCCGAGAGGCGGGCGGGAAGCAGGCCUGCGGGAGGGCCGCGCCUGGGGCGUACGUGCUGCCGCCACCGGCGGGGUACUCGCCGGAACGGGGGGCACUAGGGGCUCUCUUCUCAAAAACGAAGCAUCAUAAAAGCCAUCGAGCCUCUCAACAACGGCCGCCUGACGUCUGCUCAGCUCAUACUUAGGGCUCUGGAUUUUCAUCUGCUUUCGUGAUGCGCAGGAGGGGGUGAGACCGACUAGAAAAAGUCAACAGAACCCACGUGAGCAACGUCACCUGACCUCUGAUGAGUCAUCAGAGCAACACGAUCAACCUUUUGCUACCAGUGCUACAGGGAGACUAUCUCUUGAUGCAGAACUGCUCAGCAAAGGGAACAAAUGAGAAUUAGAACUUGUAAAAUACUUCCCCUCUUGUGAAAAACAUCUUUUUGAAGAGUUGACAGCCCUCUGGAUUACAGACUGAGGACUGGGUGCCCAUUGAGACAGACAAACCAUUUUCUUUCUGAGAAAGAGAUUACACCGAGACAGACCUGAAGAAAGGUUAAUCAUCUUUCACCCACCUGCAAGGAAGAUCAACAGUCAGAAUCUGCAUCACCAAACGGUUUUCAGCUGUGGUUUAACAGGGAAACAAUGCU